CUCCGUGCAGACGCUGUGUGAAGCGCUGGGGUCGGAGGUCACUGUCAGGGGCCUCUGUACUGCACGCCCACUGGGUGCCUGGGCUUUACCUGCUGUCCCGUGUGAUGCCCACUGCCACCCCCGAGAGGGAGGCCCAAGUCCUCUCACCCCACCGUGGAGGAGGCCGGACAUGCAGUCGUUGAACACAGGCCCCACCCCUCCGCCCUGCUCCCUCUCCAGCCGCAGAACUCGGGGCUCGAGGGUAAGGGCCUCAUUGCAGUUCGGAUGGCUGGCACAGCCGGGUCCCCAGCCCCCCAUCUCUGUGGCCUCUUCGUCCACCACCCCAUUUCUCUGGUUCUCAGGCCUCUGCUUUCCAAAGGCCCAGGAGAGCGAGGCUCUGCGACUGCCCCCAGGGAGAGAGCCCAAGUACAGGAUUUCCAGGCUCCCUCUUCUCAACGUGCGCAGCUUCUUCCUCCAGCACCAGCUCAGAGAAGAAGGUACUGUUGGCCAGACCGCGUCACAGAAGAGGAAACACGGGCCACAGAGGGCUCGCCUGUGUGCCUCUGAUCACACAGCUGGGAAGGCACUGAGCUGGAGUUCAGCCCCAGGCAGCCUUGCUCAGACCCCACCCCUCAGCCACUCUGUUCUGAGGGUUUGGGGCACCUGCCUGGGCGUGCAGGAGAUGAGACUGGCCACAUAAGCAGGAAUAAGGUCCGAAGGGUCUUCCUUUCUUCACAAGGCCUUAGAUGUUCUUGAUCCAAGGACCCUGCACCUCUUGGGAUCCGUGAAAGUAACAGUGCCGUGGUGCGUGUGUACAUGUGUGUGUGCACAUGUGUGUGUGCGCAUGCUGAGGAAGGCCAUCUGCCUUUCUCUAUAAGGAGGCCGUAUGAGGAAACGAUGCAGCAACUUUGCUUUUGACUGGACCUGGAUCUGCUCGCUAUAGGAACAGUGGGUGUCGGACGCUCAGCGC
rnacentral:lncRNA from 1 species